UAGAGGAAGUAAAAGUCGUAACAAGGUUUCCGUAGGUGAACCUGCGGAAGGAUCAUUAAUGAACCUUUGAGAGUUGAGCUGGCUGAACUCCAGCAUGUGCUUGCUCUCUUAUCCUUUAUACACCUGUGCACUCUUGAAAGGGAUUAGUAGACUCUAUCUUUGAGUCGAAGUCUCCUUCAAUAUUACAUACCCUUUAAUUUAUUAUUGAAUGUUUAAAGCUUAACAGCAUUAAAUUACAACUUUUAACAACGGAUCUCUUGGCUCUCGCAUCGAUGAAGAACGCAGCGAAAUGCGAUAAGUAAUGUGAAUUGCAGAAUUCAGUGAAUCAUCGAAUCUUUGAACGCACCUUGCGCUCCCUGGUAUUCCGGGGAGCACGCCUGUUCGAGCGUCAUGAAGCUCUCAAAUAGCCUCUUUUCUUAAUUGAGAGGAUGGGUGUUUGGAUUUGGACUUUUUGCUGUGUAACAAACAGCUGGUCCGAAAGAUAUUAGCUGAUCCAAGUGAAGUUUGGUUCUACUCGGCGUGAUAAUUAUCUAACGUUGAGGACAUCGCAAGAUGGCCAAUCUGAAACUUUAAUGGGUUGCUUCUAAUCGUCUUCAUUUGACAAACUUAUAAUCAAUCUGACCUCGAAUCAGGUGGGACUACCCGCUGAACUUAAGCAUAUCAAUA
rnacentral:rRNA from 1 species